CUCUGGGAGACCAAAACUACUCGUUGGGCAAGUGGGGAUGCAGCCAAGAGGGGAAGGCUCAGUGACAACAGUUGCUCAGUGCUCACUGCCCAGUAUCUGCCUCCUUACCAUGCCACUAUAAUAGUUGGGAACCCAUCAACAAUUAAGCAUCUUCUAUACAAAUAUGUUGCAGACCAUCUGUAUAGUUCUCAGUUCCAGAAGAUUCCAGUAACUCACUAAGUUUUAAUAUUAUUUUUUUUUUCUUCUUAAUCUGAUGGGCUGCCCUGAGAUAAGUGAUUAAAGCAAAAAGCCUGACAUAAUUUCUUCGGAGCUAAAACUGCACAGAAGUUGCCAAUUCCUGUAUUUGUUUUCUUACAAGAAACUUGAAGCAGGCAUUUUCCACUGUUAACAAUUUUUAGGUUCUAUCAAGUCAUAUUUUUUUUUCUUUUUGGUCAGAAAAAUAUUUUGGUGAAAAUUAUUGCUAACAUAAUCUUAGAAAAUAUUUGAACAGGCAAUUCUGAAGUUUUUCCAGAGACUUGUUGGUGUUAUAGAGACCAGAAAUAAAGUUCUGAACCGUACCUUCUGUACCUUCUGCCUAAAACCAGGAAGACAGUUUUGGACAAGUACUAUGCAUAUGCAUGGCCCAACACUUCUACCUUGCUCCCUAUCACUGCAGGAGGAUUGGGAUAAUUCUUCUGUUUGCACCAGAUCAGAGGCAAACAUGUGAGUGCUUAGAAGAAAAUACUCCUGAACACAAGCCGUUGUUGAAGUUUACCUCUGAUGACAUCUUUGGGAAACACACUGAAACACCCCAUAGGAACAAGGAAUGCAUAAAGCCUGCAAGCUCUUUAACAGGUGGAAAAGUCAUUCUGUGACAGCUAAGAGAUGAAAUCAAAGAAAGGAGACCUAGUUCAACAGACAUGAGCUUUCUGAAUGAAGGCAACCGAAAGAUCAAGAGAAUCAAGAAAAUAAUAUGAGUGAUCAGCAAGCUGGUGAGGCACACACCAAAAGUCAGCUUCAGGUGUGCUUCCAUCAGCUGCUUGCUCUGAGAAAACAUCACUUCAACUGCAUUUUUUGCACCUGCAAGCUGGUUAUCUGGACUAGCCUGAUACUUAACAUGUACUCUGAGAGUUUGCUCUCCUUUUUCUGAUGCUCUGUUGAUGCCUGGCCUUGGUGCUUGGGCUUAGGGCCCUGCAUGAUUUAAUUGCACAUUACAACAAAGAUUUUUGAUUUAUACUUUCUAACUGCAUUCUCUCUUACAUUUCAAAGUGCUUGAAACAUUAUGAUUCUCUAUAAAAGUCCUUGCCCAGAUAUGCUUUUUCAGAGACUCAUCUUCUCACACCAUGUUUUUCUAAGAGUUUUUUUAUUUUGGUGGUUACUGCCCUGACAGAUGGAAUUCUUGACUCUUCCAUUUGAGUCUGGUAAGUAGUCUAAAAAAAGUUAGCUGGCCUUGCUGUCACUUGAGAGGUUGGGACUUCAUUUCUUUCUUUAUUUACAAACAACCCAGAACAUUAUUGGUAUCUAUAGUGAAGAUGGAAAUAUUGCCAUUGGAUCUAAACUGAGGUUCAGGGGGGACCACUGUUUUAAAAGUAGUGAAUUUAGAAGACAAAUGUAAACUUUCUUAGUGUGAUGAAACAUAAUGCAUUUAUUUGAAGUAUGUUUCAAAAAAAUGAGACUUGAAUGAGCUUUGAACUUAGUAUAUGAGUUGACUUUUCAUCUCUGACUUUGACUUGAAUAGCUGUCAAAAUACUAUUAAUUAUGAUACUAUUUUAAUUUUUUUAGAAAUUCUUUGUACAGUGCCUUGACGAAGAUCAUAACAUAAAUUUGGGCAGUUGUAAAACUCUUCCUUCUCUUUCUAAGCAUUUACUCUUGGAACAAAUCCUGCUGAAGUCCCUGGGAGUAAAGGACAAUCUGGGAGAGUUGCUAAUCUUAUUCUUACAAGAGCUGUGUCUUGCCUGCUAUCCUGCUUGGUGUCUGUCAGGCUCACGAUGGAAAUAAAUUAUCCUUUGUCAAUGUCUUGUUGGUAGAU
rnacentral:lncRNA from 1 species